UCAGUCGCGUCGCGCUGCCGUGUGGUUAAGGAGCUCAGCCCGUUGGAAGCGGCGAUGUGGUGGGUGGUGGCCGGCGGGAACCCCGGCCGACUGCGGCCCAGCUGGCCCAGCCACGGCCCACGGCGGCCCCGGGGGCGGCGAGGCCGCUUCUGACCACACCCGCCGACUCGGCUCUUCUCAGAAUUGCCGCACGCGUAAAAUGAAGGGCUUGAAGAUGUAAAAUUCAACAGUUCAACCAGUGAUUGGAGUGUCGCGAAGUUGGAACUCAGCUACGUGUGGAUGCUGAUCAGCCUGUGACACUCAUCCCAGGAUGCCGAAGACAUUCAUACUUCUCAAGAAACAAAUUCUCAAGGAUCGGAGGAUGCAACAACAUUAACGCAGUGGCCACAACAAGCACAAGUUGAAAUUCUAAGCAGUCUCCGAGGGAUAAGGAAUUGUUGCAUUUGAAAAAUGCAAUAGAUAUUAAAUCAUCCUGGCGAACAAGCCAGCUUCCUGUGAGCACAGCUGCACAAUAUUCGGGAUCUACUCUGAGAUUACAAUACGGAGGCAAUGGCGGAUGUACAGAAAGUCAUAUCAGCGAAACGAGAAAGUUUCAAGUCAGAAAGUCGGAGAAAAGAAGCUAUUGGCUACAAACACUAUCGUGCUAAAUAGGUUUAUAGAUGGCAUGCAUUCAGAUGCGUUUACGUUGGUUAUCGGUUUAUUAAGACACUGUUUUGUAAGAACUGUAAACGCUUUGUAUUAUAUCUGUAUGUCUAUUUCUAUCGUUGUUGUAUUUUAUUAAAACGUACAUGGCAUAGCAAACAACUGGAAGAAAUUUUCCAAUUUUACAUUUUAAGUUGCAUUCUAUCAGAAAGAAAAAAAUACUAUCUUUAAUUUCGUUUCUGUCAAUGAUGUUACCACAUAAUAGUAUCUUCUUUUAUUAUUAAGUCUUGAAUUGUUUUAAUAAGAUACAUGCAUUGUUUUGUAUCAUUCUUCGAUGGCUGAACAGAUUCACGUAUGUUAGACAAUAAAUUAUUUCUACAAAGCUUCCCAGCACCCCA